UACGUAGGCAGCGAGCGUUGUUCGGAGUUACUGGGCGUAAAGAGUGCGUAGGCGGUUCUCUAAGUCUGGUGUGAAAUCUCCCGGCUCAACUGGGAGGGUGCGCCGGAGACUGGAGGGCUUGAGUGUGGGAGAGGAAAGCGGAAUUCCUGGUGUAGCGGUGAAAUGCGUAGAUAUCAGGAGGAACACCUGCGGUGUAGACGGCUUUCUGGACCACGACUGACGCUGAGGCACGAAAGCGUGGGGAGCAAACAGG
rnacentral:rRNA from 1 species